AGCUGCUGUCCUGAAACUUCAUAAAGUUACCCAUACCCUGUGACUGAAACAGAGCGAAACAAGAGUAAUGAAGAGCUGCUGUCCUGAAACUUCAUAAAGUUACCCAUAUUGAGAUGAAGGAUACAAUCUGCCUGUGACUGAAACAGAGCGAAACAAGAGUAAUGAAGAGCUGCUGUCCUGAAACUUCAUAAAGUUACCCAUAUUGAGAUGAAGGAUACAAUCUGCCUGUGACUGAAACAGAGCGAAACAAGAGUAAUGAAGAGAGGAAACAGAAACCAGCAACAAGGACCAACUGAAAAUGAUCCAGGCCACUAAAAUUAUAAAUGGCUUAUUUAAUAAAUUAUAAUAUUAAUAAAUUUUUAGUUACUGUAA